CGGGGAGUAGCGCAGUUUGGUAGCGCAUCUGGUUUGGGUCCAGAGGGUCGCAGGUUCGAAUCCUGUCUCCCCGACCA
rnacentral:tRNA from 1 species